rnacentral:rRNA from 1 species
UACAGGGGGGGGCAAGCGUUGUUCGGAAUUACUGGGCGUAAAGGGCCAGUAGGCGGCCAACUAAGUCCGACGUGAAAUCCCCAGGCUUAACCUGGGAACUGCGUCGGAUACUGGAUGGCUUGAAUUCGGGAGAGGGAUGCAGAAUUCCAGGUGUAGCGGUGAAAUGCGUAGAUAUCGGAAGGAACACCUGUGGCGAAAGCGGCUCACUGGACCAUUACUGACGCUGAUGCACGAAAGCUAGGGGAGCAAACAGG